GACGAACGCUGGCGGCGUGCUUAACACAUGCAAGUCGAACGGAAAGGCCCUGCUUUUGUGGGGUGCUCGAGUGGCGAACGGGUGAGUAACCCGUGAGUAACCUGCCCUUGACUUUGGGAUAACUUCAGGAAACUGGGGCUAAUACCGGAUAGGAGCUCCUGCUGCAUGGUGGGGGUUGGAAAGUUUCGGCGGUUGGGGAUGGACUCGCGGCUUAUCAGCUUGUUGGUGGGGUAGUGGCUUACCAAGGCUUUGACGGGUGGCCGGCCUGAGAGGGUGACCGGCCACAUUGGGACUGGGAUACGGCCCAGACUCCUACGGGAGGCAGCAGUGGGGAAUAUUGCACAAUGGGCGGAAGCCUGAUGCAGCAACGCCGCGUGCGGGAUGACGGCCUUCGGGUUGUAAACCGCUUUCGCCUGUGACGAAGCGUGAGUGACGGUAAUGGGUAAAGAAGCACCGGCUAACUACGUG
rnacentral:rRNA from 1 species